UAUAUCUAAUCUUUAGAACAUUUUUUUAGCUAGGUACUAUUAUCUCCAUUUUAUAGAUAAGAAAACCAAGGCACAGAGAGAUGGAGUAACUUGUACAAAGUCCAACAGCAUGUGGAACCCAAGCAUUAGGUUCCAGAGCCACACAUUUAGCCACUACGAGGUACUGCCUUCCAUAAAAAAUGCCUCAAGUUCACCAGAUUAAUCCUAAAGUGACUGAGGUACACAGGAGGAGGAGAAACAGGACAAAUUAUGGUGGUGGAAAAAGAAUGCAAGUAAGGAGAAGUAGAGAAAGGAAAGAAUUUGGGAGGGGUGGUAAGGAAGAAGGGAAGAAGGAAUGCAACCAAAUCCCAUGGAAUAAGUGGAAUCGCUAUUAGAAGAGAUUUUCUUUUAAAUAAAAACUCAGAUACCUUUUAAGCA
rnacentral:lncRNA from 12 species